rnacentral:rRNA from 1 species
GACGAACGCUGGCGGCGUGCUUAACACAUGCAAGUCGAACGGACAGGCCCUGCUUUUGUUGGUUGCUCGAUUGGCGAACGGGUGAGUAACACGUGUGUAUCCUGCCCUUGUCUUUGUGAUAACUUCAGGAAACUCGGGCUCAUACCGGAUAUGAGCUCCUGCUGCAUGGUGUUGGUUGGAAAGUUUCGGCGUUUGUGGAUGGACUCGCUGCUUAUCAGCUUGUUGGUGUGGUAGUGGCUUACCAAGGCUUUGACGGGUAGCCGGCAUGAGAGGGUGACCGGCCACAUUGGGACUGAGAUACGGACCAGAAUGCAACGGGACGCAGCAGUGGGGAAUAUUGCACAAUGGGGGGAAGCCUGAGGCAGCAACGCUGCGUGCGGGAUGACGGCCUUCGGGGUGUAAACCGAUGUGGAAGGUGACGAAGAGUGAGUGACGGUAAUGGGUAAAGAAGCAACGGCUAACUACGUG